CUUACGUCAGCGGCUGGGGGCGGGGUUACCGUGACCAACAAGACGAGAGAAACUUUGUGAUCCGCCAUUUUUCGAUAGCAGCUAAUCGAGCUAACAACAACACAAUGGACGCUACUAGGCAAAAACAGCACUGGUCAGACGAGGAAACAAGCUGCUUUCUUGCACUCUGGUCCUCUUCAGAAGUCCUGAGGCAUGCCAGGUGACCGGGGGCCUGAACUCGGCCACAAUAAUGCUCGAGUCAAUGCUGGAUGAUUCGCCGCAGCAAAGUUGCACUGAUCACGAACUGUCUGCCAUCAACGACCGUGAAGACAACGUUGAGUUGCCGCCACCGCUGGGCUGCAGCUCUCCCGUGCCGUCGUGGAGCAGCUCUGGAGAAGCAUCUUCAGAACGGGGAAAAAUGAAGAGGUGGUACCUCGGAAAUCAUUCAAUAUCUGGAAAGGGCAGAUGAGAGGUUCCUGCAGCACAGCAAGGCAAUGGAUGAUGCCUUGUGUCAGGACAUGAGAGCGGACACCCAAUCCCUGCUUGGACUCAUGGGGCGCACGGUGGCCGUAUUGGAGACACAAGUUAAAAAAUAAUUUUGGUUGCCGCUUUUCAUGUCUUUUUUUUUUUUUUUACACAAUUGUUACCUGCAGAACUUUAUUUUUUUAAAAGAUUUCUGUUGUUUUUUUUGGUUUAAAUAAACAUGUUUAGUAAUGCAAAUAGCUGGUCCAGUUUCUUAAACACUUAACAGGCAAAUAUUGUAUUAUGGUUUGUGUUUUUAAUGUAAUUUACUUUUAUAUAAAUGUGUACAUUAAACAGCCAAGUGAUGCGAUUAGCUGCAUAUACAAAUCUAUAUUAUUUCGACAUGAAAUAUGAUUAAAAUCCAAGUUACUUUAUGAUUGGUAGUUAAUAAAAACUUGGUUGGUUUUAAUCCUGGCCAGAAGUGUGAAAGGGUUGUUGAUUGAGGAUGAUUGAUAAAUGACAUUAUCUUUUCUAAUAAUAAUGGAUGUUGUGUUCUCGUGGAGAUGUUUUCCCCUGCAGUGGAUUUCUAACUGGUGUUGCAUUUUCCUAAGGUCUCCGUAUCAUUGCUGCUUUUUUCGCACAAACCUUCCUGUGGUUAUGGGGACAAAACCAGACUGUGAGGCUCGUAGGCGUGAGUUGUGGUUUUGGUGUAAGAGUGACCGUGUGAAGGGAUGGAUGACAGGGUGUGUGACUGAGGGUGGGUGUCCAUAUGACAUAUUAGUGAUACUAGAUGUGGCAAAAAAAGGGUGUGGAAGAAUACAACUGAGAAUACUGGGAGAGUGUUCAUAUGACAUUUGGGAGGCUACAGUAAACAAUGGUGCAAGACUUCAACUGACACUAUGCUUGACUUAGAUUCAGACACAGAUCCAGAGAGUAAGUACUUCAACAAUGGGAGAAAUUGUGACUACUACACGGAAAAUCAGUUCAACGAAAAGUUUGGAUCAGAACACAAUAUAAAGAUAAUACACUUCAAUAGUAGAAGCCUUUACGCUAAUUUUUGCAAGAUUAAAGACUACCUAGACCAGUUCACCUCACCUCACCAGUGUAAUCGCAAUCUCGGAGACCUGGAUUAGUCUGGAGAAAGGGGUGGAAUUUGAGUUGGAUGGUUAUAAUCUGAAUUAUGUAAACAGAGGCAACAAAAGGGGAGGGGGAGUUGCACUUUAUGUUGAUAGAAGACUUAAGUACAAGAUUGUUGAAAGUAUGACGGCUGCAAUUGAUGAUAUAUGUGAAUGUAUUACUAUUGAAAUAGAUAUGGGGAAAAGGAAGAACAUCAUUGUCAGCUGUGCAUACCGGGCUCCCAACAAUAGCAUAGAGAAGUUCAAGGAGGUGAUGGAGAGUAUGGCUACAAACACCGAGCAAAAGGUAACUUUUCUCUGUGGCGAUUACAACAUCGAUCUUCUGAAUCCUAACAAACUAACACCGAUAGAGAAAUUCAUGGAUGCAAUGUACAGCAGAAGCUUGUAUCCUAUUAUUACUAAACCUAGUCGAAUUACAGUCCACUCUGCAACACUUAUAGAUAAUAUUUUUACUAAUAACCUAAUAGAUAAUAUAGAAAGUGGAUUAUUAUUAAAUGAUAUUAGUGACCAUCUGCCGGUGUUUGCAAUCUACAGCGGUACACCUAGGUUGGCUGAAAGGAAUGAAAUGAUAGAAAGGAGAUUAAGAACGGUUGACAAUCUAAACAAGUUCAGAAAUGAAUUAAGUGCACAAAACUGGAGAAAGGUUUAUGAGGCAGAGGAGGUUGAUUAUGCUUAUGAUUCCUUCCUGCAAACUUUUCUGAUGUUAUAUGACAGAUGCUGUCCAAUUCAGCAAAGCAGAAAACGAGCAAAUCGCUCAGAUAAACCUUGGCUUACAAAGGGUCUGUUGAACGCCUGUAAAAAGAAGAACUUCUUAUAUAAAGAGUUUAUCAAGAAUAGAAAUAAGGAGAAAG
ensembl:lncRNA